CGGGUUCCGUUGCACCUGGAUGUUGAAGCAGACCAUUCUGAAAUGUCAACCACAUCCAAGACUCCAGUAGAAUCAAUUCCUGCAUCCACAGUAGGAAAAUCAGAAAAUGGGAAUUGGAGGUCAACAAAAAAACAAGAAGGACCAACAAUAGCAAAGAAUCAUCCGGGAGCUUCAUCCCUGCUGCCCACUCUCGCCAUUUCCGCCAGAGCUCUUCUGUUGCUCUGCUGUGUGGCCGCUGGCGUCGCAUGGAAGUUCAAACUGUGAAGCUGCAGCAAACAGGGCAGAGUCAGAGCUCCCCCAAUGUGGGCAUUGUGGUAUCCCAGCAUGCUCGGGGCUCAGGUAGGUCACUUAGCCAGUCAUGUCCAGGGUGCUCACCCCCUCAGUAUUGUGGGUAAUGCCAGGAAAAGAGAUCAUGACCACUUUCCAGUCAAAUGGCCCAGAAAAAAUGUCAAUAAAGUUUUAUUAUAACAAUACAGCUAUUACUGUACUUCAUUUUACAUUUCUGAUACCUUUUGAUAUAAAAGUCAUUUCUACUUUGACCUCUGCUUUUGUGUCAUGGUGUUUAUAUAUUUACAAGAUAAAUUGGCAUAAUUAGUGCAUUAUCACUACAUUAUUGCCUCUUUACCCAGUUCAGUGCAAUCAUUUUUUAAGUUAAAAUAAUAAUUUAGUUCCCCCAAUAAAGGUGUCUUUAGAAAAUGAACAUGAGAUACAGGGGGGGGAAUAUGAAAUGUACUUAUGUUUUCAAUGAAAGUUAUAAUAUCACAAUAUAAUCUAUAUCUAAUAGUUACAGUAUAUUGCAGUAUAUUGGAUUUAUGGGAAGGAGUAUAGUGCAUUUUGGAGUCACUAACUAGAAUGCUUUGGGACAACGGGUAAUUAAACUUAUUGAAUAUUAAAUGUUAAAUAACAUAUUCUUUCUUUUGUUUGGCAGCAAUUUUGGCGGUACUAUGCUUACAUUUGCGUUACAAUGCAGACACCUUUGGGUUGUAACGCAGGCAGCUUUUGGGCACAGAUGAAUUCCUCACAUCUAUUAGAUAAAGCAGAACAACGGAUAAGAGUAGUUGCUGCUAUGCCGGAUGACGGUUCCGGCUGUGAAGGUCAAAUGUCCAAAUAAAUAAUUUGUCUAGUUUGUAUUUAUGCGUGACAGGAAAUGAGGUUUUUCACAGUAUGUCAGAAGCUGAAUGUGUGGGAGAGAGUAACCGAAACUAGAUUCAAAUAAAUAAAUACAAUUUCUAUGUAUGGAGAGCUUUUAAACCACAAUCCGAUGACUCACCAUUUCCAAACAUUGAACACAGCACGAUCUCACACUCUGUUUGCGUUCAUAUUCUUACAGUUUACCUUCACUGAACACAUUGCAGAACAUAUAAAAAAUGCUAUUAUUCAUUGACUUGGCAAAUACAAAAUAUGGUAUGACACAUAUAGCGUAUAAAGGCCUUAAGUCAGUCAACAUGUCUAGACACAUAAAUGAUAAUAUCUUUUCUUUCUUCGCAAACACCAUAGAUGAGUUAAUUGUGGUAAUUGCAUAAUUUGACUAUAACAACAAAACCCAAUAAUACUAUUGUUUUGGUUAUUAUAUUGAUAUACAAUGGUACAUUUUUGUGAAAACAUGUAAAAUCUAUGAAUAAUUAUAUGUGGGGGGGAAACUAUUUGAUGAUUAAUACUUUAUAUAAAUCUUUCCUCAGA